GCCCUGGCAGUCAGAGGCGAUGAAGGACGUGCUAAUCUGCGAUAAGCGUCGGUAAGGUGAUAUGAACCGUUAUAACCGGCGAUUUCCGAAUGGGGAAACCCAGUGUGAUUCGUCACACUAUCAUUAACUGAAUCCAUAGGUUAAUGAGGCGAACCGGGGGAACUGAAACAUCUAAGUACCCCGAGGAAAAGAAAUCAACCGAGAUUCCCCCAGUAGCGGCGAGCGAACGGGGAGGAGCCCAGAGCCUGAAUCAGUGUGUGUGUUAGUGGAAGCGUCUGGAAAGGCGCGCGAUACAGGGUGACAGCCCCGUACACAAAAAUACACAUGCUGUGAGCUCGAUGAGUAGGGCGGGACACGUGGUAUCCUGUCUGAAUAUGGGGGGACCAUCCUCCAAGGCUAAAUACUCCUGACUGACCGAUAGUGAACCAGUACCGUGAGGGAAAGGCGAAAAGAACCCCGGCGAGGGGAGUGAAAAAGAACCUGAAACCGUGUACGUACAAGCAGUGGGAGCACAGAGCAAUCUGUGUGACUGCGUACCUUUUGUAUAAUGGGUCAGCGACUUAUAUUCUGUAGCAAGGUUAACCGAAUAGGGGAGCCGAAGGGAAACCGAGUCUUAACUGGGCGUUAAGUUGCAGGGUAUAGACCCGAAACCCGGUGAUCUAGCCAUGGGCAGGUUGAAGGUUGGGUAACACUAACUGGAGGACCGAACCGACUAAUGUUGAAAAAUUAGCGGAUGACUUGUGGCUGGGGGUGAAAGGCCAAUCAAACCGGGAGAUAGCUGGUUCUCCCCGAAAGCUAUUUAGGUAGCGCCUCGUGAAUUCAUCUCCGGGGGUAGAGCACUGUUUCGGCAAGGGGGUCAUCCCGACUUACCAACCCGAUGCAAACUGCGAAUACCGGAGAAUGUUAUCACGGGAGACACACGGCGGGUGCUAACGUCCGUCGUGAAGAGGGAAACAACCCAGACCGCCAGCUAAGGUCCCAAAGUCAUGGUUAAGUGGGAAACGAUGUGGGAAGGCCCAGACAGCCAGGAUGUUGGCUUAGAAGCAGCCAUCAUUUAAAGAAAGCGUAAUAGCUCACUGGUCGAGUCGGCCUGCGCGGAAGAUGUAACGGGGCUAAACCAUGCACCGAAGCUGCGGCAGCGACGCUUAUGCGUUGUUGGGUAGGGGAGCGUUCUGUAAGCCUGCGAAGGUGUGCUGUGAGGCAUGCUGGAGGUAUCAGAAGUGCGAAUGCUGACAUAAGUAACGAUAAAGCGGGUGAAAAGCCCGCUCGCCGGAAGACCAAGGGUUCCUGUCCAACGUUAAUCGGGGCAGGGUGAGUCGACCCCUAAGGCGAGGCCGAAAGGCGUAGUCGAUGGGAAACAGGUUAAUAUUCCUGUACUUGGUGUUACUGCGAAGGGGGGACGGAGAAGGCUAUGUUGGCCGGGCGACGGUUGUCCCGGUUUAAGCGUGUAGGCUGGUUUUCCAGGCAAAUCCGGAAAAUCAAGGCUGAGGCGUGAUGACGAGGCACUACGGUGCUGAAGCAACAAAUGCCCUGCUUCCAGGAAAAGCCUCUAAGCAUCAGGUAACAUCAAAUCGUACCCCAAACCGACACAGGUGGUCAGGUAGAGAAUACCAAGGCGCUUGAGAGAACUCGGGUGAAGGAACUAGGCAAAAUGGUGCCGUAACUUCGGGAGAAGGCACGCUGAUAUGUAGGUGAAGCGACUUGCUCGUGGAGCUGAAAUCAGUCGAAGAUACCAGCUGGCUGCAACUGUUUAUUAAAAACACAGCACUGUGCAAACACGAAAGUGGACGUAUACGGUGUGACGCCUGCCCGGUGCCGGAAGGUUAAUUGAUGGGGUCAGCGCAAGCGAAGCUCUUGAUCGAAGCCCCGGUAAACGGCGGCCGUAACUAUAACGGUCCUAAGGUAGCGAAAUUCCUUGUCGGGUAAGUUCCGACCUGCACGAAUGGCGUAAUGAUGGCCAGGCUGUCUCCACCCGAGACUCAGUGAAAUUGAACUCGCUGUGAAGAUGCAGUGUACCCGCGGCAAGACGGAAAGACCCCGUGAACCUUUACUAUAGCUUGACACUGAACAUUGAGCCUUGAUGUGUAGGAUAGGUGGGAGGCUUUGAAGUGUGGACGCCAGUCUGCAUGGAGCCGACCUUGAAAUACCACCCUUUAAUGUUUGAUGUUCUAACGUGGACCCGUAAUCCGGGUUGCGGACAGUGUCUGGUGGGUAGUUUGACUGGGGCGGUCUCCUCCUAAAGAGUAACGGAGGAGCACGAAGGUUGGCUAAUCCUGGUCGGACAUCAGGAGGUUAGUGCAAUGGCAUAAGCCAGCUUGACUGCGAGCGUGACGGCGCGAGCAGGUGCGAAAGCAGGUCAUAGUGAUCCGGUGGUUCUGAAUGGAAGGGCCAUCGCUCAACGGAUAAAAGGUACUCCGGGGAUAACAGGCUGAUACCGCCCAAGAGUUCAUAUCGACGGCGGUGUUUGGCACCUCGAUGUCGGCUCAUCACAUCCUGGGGCUGAAGUAGGUCCCAAGGGUAUGGCUGUUCGCCAUUUAAAGUGGUACGCGAGCUGGGUUUAGAACGUCGUGAGACAGUUCGGUCCCUAUCUGCCGUGGGCGCUGGAGAACUGAGGGGGGCUGCUCCUAGUACGAGAGGACCGGAGUGGACGCAUCACUGGUGUUCGGGUUGUCAUGCCAAUGGCACUGCCCGGUAGCUAAAUGCGGAAGAGAUAAGUGCUGAAAGCAUCUAAGCACGAAACUUGCCCCGAGAUGAGUUCUCCCUGACUCCUUGAGAGUCCUGAAGGAACGUUGAAGACGACGACGUUGAUAGGCCGGGUGUGUAAGCGCAGCGAUGCGUUGAGCUAACCGGUACUAAUGAACCGUGAGGCUUAACCUUACAACGCCGAAGGUGUUU
rnacentral:rRNA from 1 species